rnacentral:rRNA from 1 species
UGCAAGUCGAGCGGUAACAGGGGGUGCUUGCACCCCGCUGACGAGCGGCGGACGGGUGAGUAAUGCUUAGGAAUCUGCCCAGUAGUGGGGGACAACAGUCGGAAACGGCUGCUAAUACCGCAUACGCCCUACGGGGGAAAGCAGGGGAUCUUCGGACCUUGCGCUAUUGGAUGAGCCUAAGUCGGAUUAGCUAGUUGGUGGGGUAAAGGCCUACCAAGGCGACGAUCCGUAGCUGGUCUGAGAGGAUGAUCAGCCACAUCGGGACUGAGACACGGCCCGAACUCCUACGGGAGGCAGCAGUGGGGAAUAUUGGACAAUGGGGGCAACCCUGAUCCAGCCAUGCCGCGUGUGUGAAGAAGGCUUUCGGGUUGUAAAGCACUUUCAGCGAGGAGGAAGGCUCUAAAGUUAAUACCUUUAGGGAUUGACGUUACUCGCAGAAGAAGCACCGGCUAACUCCGUGCCAGCAGCCGCGGUAAUACGGAGGGUGCAAGCGUUAAUCGGAAUUACUGGGCGUAAAGCGCGCGUAGGUGGUUAGGUAAGCGAGAUGUGAAAGCCCCGGGCUUAACCUGGGAACGGCAUUUCGAACUGUCUGACUAGAGUGUGGUAGAGGGUAGUGGAAUUUCCUGUGUAGCGGUGAAAUGCGUAGAUAUAGGAAGGAACACCAGUGGCGAAGGCGGCUACCUGGACCAACACUGACACUGAGGUGCGAAAGCGUGGGGA